rnacentral:lncRNA from 1 species
UUUGACAAACUGACACAUGAAUGAAACAUGUUACUUGAGCUGGUCCACGCAUAAAAAAAUAGAUUUCCAGUUUCACUGAUAGAUGUAGACAAGAUUGCUUAAAGACAGGAACGAAUAAGCAAGCCUAAUUUUGAUAUAAUCAAGGUACUAAUCAUGUAGGAAAUAUAACGAGUUGAAUUUGAUUCACACACUUAAUGAUAAGGGAAAGCAAGUUGAGUUGAAAAAGGAG